rnacentral:rRNA from 1 species
UCCAGACUCCUACGGGAGGCAGCGGUGGGGGAUAUUGCACAAUGGGGGGAACCCUGAUGCAGCGACGCCGCGUGGGUGAAGAAGCGCCUCGGCGCGUAAAGCCCUGUCAGCAGGGAAGAAAAUGACGGUACCUGAAGAAGAAGCCCCGGCUAACUACGUGCCAGCAGCCGCGGUAAUACGUAGGGGGCAAGCGUUAUCCGGAUUUACUGGGUGUAAAGGGGGCGCAGACGGCGAUGCAAGCCAGGAGUGAAAGCCCGGGGCCCAACCCCGGGACUGCUCUUGGAACUGCGUGGCUGGAGUACGGGAGGGGCAGGCGGAAUUCCUGGUGUAGCGGUGAAAUGCGUAGAUAUCAGGAGGAACACCGGCGGCGAAGGCGGCCUGCUGGACCGUGACUGACGUUGAGGCUCGAGAGCGUGGGGAGCAAACAGGAUUAGAUACCCCGGUAAGC